CGGGAUUCACGGAAUCAAUUUAUGUGGUUGGCCCAGUGUCAAGAUUUAAUGCAUCAGUACAAUGCCAAUGCAUUCAACACGCCUGCUGAUGCGCUUUCCCGCUGUAAUCUUAGUGCACUUCCGGUGGUUGUGCCUAUUCCUCUGAUUUUGCCAACAUAUCCUCCUUCGGACGACGAGCAAUAACUCUUUCUCAGGGAAGUCCUCAUACUUUUAUUUGAUUUAUUUUGACGUAAUGAGGACAUUACUUGAGUUAAGUUUGGG
rnacentral:lncRNA from 1 species